rnacentral:rRNA from 1 species
GACGAACGCUGGCGGCGUGCCUAAGACAUGCAAGUCGAGCGGACACCUUCGGGUGUUAGCGGCGGACGGGUGAGUAACACGUGGAUAACCUGCCUCAUCGACGGGGAUAACAGGCCGAAAGGCCUGCUAAUACCGGGUAAGCUCACGGGGCCGCAUGGCUCUGGGAGAAGAGGCGCUGCAAGGCGCUGCGGUGAGAGGGGUCCGCGUCCCAUUAGCUAGUUGGCGGGGUAAGAGCCCACCAAGGCGACGAUGGGUAGCCGGCCUGAGAGGGCGAACGGCCACACUGGGACUGAGACACGGCCCACACUCCUACGGGAGGCAGCAGUCGGGAAUUUUGCACAAUGGCCGAAAGGCUGAUGCAGCAACGCCGCCUGAGUGAAGAAGGCCUUCAGGUUGUAAAGCUCUGUUGCCCGUGACGAACGGCCAGCUCAAGAAAUGGGGUUGGUUUGACGGUAGCGGGAGAGGAAGCCCCGGCUAACUACGUGCCAGCAUCCCAGGUAAUACGUAAGGGGCGAGCGGUGACCGGAUUUAUUGGGCGUAAAGGGCGUGUAGGCGGCUU